rfam:Prunus persica cultivar Lovell chromosome G4, whole genome shotgun sequence.
AGUUGCAUUACAGGGCAAUUCUCUAGUGGCAGGCAGCAAUUAUGAGAUGCAUGUGUUGGGCACCAUGCAUUCCUUGUAUCCUGCCAAAGGAGAUUUGCCCCGCAAUUCUCCU